GUACAAUCAACUGAGGAAGGAGAUGAAGAAGAGCGGAGUCAGGAUAGACAUCAUCAGCCAGCUGCCGAGGAAGCAAGACAUGUAGAAAAUGAGGUCCGAACCAAGGAGUCAUCUUUGAGUCUGAGUUUGGCCUCACCCCAUUGGACCCUUCCCUCUUCUGUAGCCACAUCUACCUACCAUCUGCAUUCAUGGCUGCUCACUGCUCAGCUGGAUACUACAGCAGUCACCAAAUGGAAAGAUGACUGCUGGGUCCUGGCCUCCUCUGGCCAGUCUGCUGCCUCAGGGACCGUUCAGAGAGCCACAUCCUCCUAAGUCCUCCAAAGGACUCUGACUCAGCAGGGACCAAGUGAAGCAAAGGAUGUGGG